rnacentral:ncRNA from 1 species
GUACCGCAAGGAAGUUAUACCGCUGUGUUCCUUACCGGACAUCGAAGGAGAGCGACGGCAGAUGUACGGACGGUGC